rnacentral:rRNA from 1 species
UGGGGAAUAUUGCACAAUGGAGGGAACUCUGAUGCAGCGACGCCGCGUGAACGAAGAAGGCUUUCGAGUCGUAAAGUUCUUUUAUAUGGGAAGAUAAUGACGGUACCAUAAGAAAAAGCCCCGGCUAACUACGUGCCAGCAGCCGCGGUAAUACGUAGGGGGCUAGCGUUGUCCGGAAUCACUGGGCGUAAAGGGUUCGCAGGCGGAAAUGCAAGUCAGGUGUAAAAGGCAGUUGCUUAACUACUGUAAGCAUUUGAAACUGCAUAUCUUGAGAAGAGUAGAGGUAAGUGGAAUUUUUAGUGUAGCGGUGAAAUGCGUAGAUAUUAAAAAGAAUACCGGUGGCGAAGGCGACUUACUGGGCUCAUUCUGACGCUGAGGAACGAAAGCGUGGGUAGCAAACAGG